rnacentral:rRNA from 1 species
GACGAACGCUGGCGGCGUGCCUAAUACAUGCAAGUAGAACGCUGAAGGAGGAGCUUGCUUCUCCGGAUGAGUUGCGAACGGGUGAGUAACGCGUAGGUAACCUGCCUGGUAGCGGGGGAUAACUAUUGGAAACGAUAGCUAAUACCGCAUAACAGUAGAUGUUGCAUGACAUUUGCUUAAAAGGUGCAAUUGCAUCACUACCAGAUGGACCUGCGUUGUAUUAGCUAGUUGGUGAGGUAACGGCUCACCAAGGCGACGAUACAUAGCCGACCUGAGAGGGUGAUCGGCCACACUGGGACUGAGACACGGCCCAGACUCCUACGGGAGGCAGCAGUAGGGAAUCUUCGGCAAUGGACGGAAGUCUGAACGAGCAACGCCGCGUGAGUGAAGAAGGUUUUCGGAUCGUAAAGCUCUGUUGUAAGAGAAGAACGAGUGUGAGAGUGGAAAGUUCACACUGUGACGGUAUCUGACCAGAAAGGGACGGCUAACUACGUG